AGGCUGUUAGAUGUCUCAACAGUUACAGCUCCUGAUUCUUGCUGUUAACUGUCCUUUCCUGUAUACAUAAAAACCAACCCUCCUAGUGUCCUCAGAGCCAAUCAGGUGUGUUAUGUGAACAACCUCAGACUUUUAGGAAAGGUGGGGUAUAUGGCUGCAGCACUACAUAUGCUUACUUGGGAGCCAGUCCUACGGUGGAGCUUGCUUCUGAGUUGUUGUUUAGUCAUUUAGUCGUGUCCGACUCUUCGUGACCCCAUGGACCAGAGCACGCCAGGCACUCUUGUCUUCCACUGCCUCCCACAGUUUGGUCAAACUCAUGCUGGUAGCUUCGAGAACACUGUCCAACUAUCUCGUCCUCUGUCGUCCCCUUCUCCUUGUGCCCAAAUCUUUCUCAACAUCAGGGUCUUUUCCAGGGAGCCUUCUCUUCUCAUGAGGUGGCCAAAGUAUUGGAGUCUCAGCUUCACGAUCUGUCCUUCCAGUGAGCACUCAGGGCUGAUUUCCUUCAGAAUGCAGAGGUUUGAUCUUCUUGCAGUCCAUGGGACUCUCAAGAGUCUCCUCCAGCACCAUAAUUCAAAAGCAUCAAUUCUUUGGCGAUCAGCCUUCUUUAUGGUCCAGCUCUCACUUCCAUACAUCACUGCUGGGAAAACCAUAGCUUUAACUAUACGGACCUGUACUAAUUCACACUGAUAGCUGGUUAAAAAACAAUGUGGUCUAGGUCUGCCAUCAUCCCACACAUUGGUUUUGUUCCCAUGUAAUUGUAAGAUAAACCAUAAUAACCUAAAAAGAGCUGCCUGGAUCAGGCCAGUGUCUCAUCUAGUCCAGCAUUCUCUUCUUACUGUGGCCAACCAGAGUCUGCCAGCAUGACCUGAGUCAAGAGCAUUGUCCCCUCCUGUGGUUUUUAGUAACUGAUAUUCCAAAGCAUACUGCCUCCGACCUUGUGGGCAGGCAUAGCCAUCUCAAGUAGCAGCCAUUGGUAGCUGUAUCUUCUCUGAAUUUGCCCAGUUCUCCAUUGAAGUUGGUGGUAAUUGAAGUAAGAAAGCCUGUUGAAGGGAGGGAAGAAAGUCAAUGCUCAGCAGAGUGUGGGGAAAGAAUGUGGGUAAACGACUGUUAAAUUUCACUGUAUUUUGUUUGUAUUAAAGGAAAAACCAAUAAAAAGCAUUUACAAAAAAAGAAGAAGAGGUUGGUGGCUAUUGCUGCCUUCUGUGGGGCCAACUUCUAUACUGCUGUGUGAAGACCAUGGCUUACUUAGAGUGAAUGUGCUGGCUUACAGGGAGGAGAUUGCAGCUGCUUUGCUCGUUCCCAGUCCUUUUAGCUCAGUGUGGCAUGGAAGUCAGGGAUGUCCCAUCCUGUUUUGACACUUGAGGCAAAUUGUGAAUGUAUUGCUCCCUGUCCUCCCCCCCUCAAUGCCCCCGUCUUGCCAAACCGGGCCGGAGAAGAUGAGCGGUGGUGCUGUGCUCAGGCACACCACCUCUCACCAAACUCGGCAAGAGCUGUGGCAUUCCACAAGGUGUUGCUGCUUGUUGGAAUCUCUCCCUUUUGCUGGUGAGACAGGCAUUCCGACAGUGGUGGCACCACCUCUUGUACUUCUGCCACCUGAGGCAGGUGCUUCACCAUGCCUCAUCGGUGGGCCGGCUCUGAUGGCAGUUAAACCAAGGUUUGGUUUAGCAUGCCACUCAAACCUGGGGUAGUGGUUAUGCACUGUUUUCCUUAACUGAACAAGGUGUGUUCUUGGUUACUAAUAAUUGCUAAGGAAUAGAACUUAACCGUGAUCCUAGGUUCAGAUGGCACACUCAGGCUCACCUCAGCAUUGCCCUGAGCUCAAAGGAAAGUGGCAGAGCAAAACAGGUGUGAGCUCCUCUCUGGGUGUCUCUUUACACUCUUUCUUUACACAUUCCCUCUUUACACUUUGAGUAACUCUCCUUUCCUCAUUAUGUGGAAAGCAGUUCCAAGAAGACUCUUGGAAGCCACAAAUAAAAACAUCUUGCUUGUCCUUUGCUCCAGUAGAUUGAAUCGUGCUUUAAAAACAAUUAAAUGGGAAAUGUGAGUGUCACAGCAAUUCCUUAACAAAUGAGAUCACAGUUUUUUGUCAGAAGACUGACAACCUGGAGCUAGUUCAAAUGAGUCAGAAUCGUAACCCUUUGCUAGGUUUACAAAAAGAAGAGUCAUAUUUGCAAUAAUGAUACCUUCAAAGGACUAAGAUUAAUAGGUCUUAUAUAAAGCCUAGUGAACGCUGAAUAAAAGUUGCUCUAAUGCUAUUAAAUGGCAAAGGCCCCAAUGAUGCAGAGGGAUGUAAUUUUUCUACAACUCCAUCACAAGGAAGUGUAAUUAAUAGAUGCCAUGUUCUGACAUUAACUUAAUCCAUAGUUUAGUGCUGUGUGGGUGAGCCUCGUAUUGUUUUAUUGUGUUACAAAAGGCAGAUAUUAUAUUGUUUUGACUUGCAAAGGCUUACUACUUCUCUGACAAUUUACAGAAGGAAAUGGUGAUAUUAAACUCUUGUUGUAUAUUUAAAUACGUAAGGGUGCAAUCCAAACCCUGUUUACACUGUACUGUGUGUGUGUUUGAAUUGAGCGAAGGUAUUGGAUGCUCAGAUCCAUCACUAUUGCCCAGAAUUAAAGUAUAGCCCCAUCUUUAAACUGAUUUACAGUGGUACUUCAGGUUAAGUAUUUAAUUCGUUCUGGAGGUCCGUUCUUAACCUUAAACUGUUCUUAACCUGAAGCACCACUUUAGCUAAUGGGGCCUCCUGCUGCCACCGCACUGCCAGAGCCUGAUUUCUGUUCUUACCCUGAAGCAAAGUUCUUAACCUGAAGCACUAUUUCUGGGUUAGAGGAGUGUGUAACCUGAAGCGUAUGUAACCUGAGGUACCACUGAAUGUAAGAGGGCAAUGUUAGCUGGGUUGACCUGCAGUUGAAGGAGAUUGCCUGCUUGUUGUUCUAGGAGCUGAUCAAGACAUUUAAGACACAUCUUUUUUUUUGUAUGAACAAGUAAAACAUGUUUCCACAUUAAUCCAGAAAAACAACUGUGACCCGGCCAUCAGGAAUUUGGAAAAUUUUGCCCUAGCUCUGUUAUGUUUUCUGAAUUCUGUUCUGUUCCAUUUGUACUACUCUUAGAAAGGUUAGGUAGGGACAUGUCAGGCACUGGGCAGAGGAGGAAUGGUGGAGACCACCUCCCCAGCCUGACCCUUCCAGAGAAGAAGAAGACAGUUCAGAAUUACAACAAGGGUUUGAGGGAGGUCACAGCUCAGAGGAAGAUGAGGAAAAAAUACACCCAACUCUCUUUUUCAGGACAUCAUAGUACCAUUUCCUCUACAUUUCUAGAUGUUGAGGUGGUAAAACAGGAUGGAUACUUACUUGUGAAACCUUUCAGAAAACCCACUGAUUGUAAUUCUUUAUUGCAUUAUUCCUCCUUCCAUCCCAGGCAUCUUAAGGAUAACUUACCGUACGGCCAACUAUUGAGAAUUAAGAGGAAUUCCUCAUUACAGAAUGAUUUUUUUAAGUAGAGCUGAUGCCCUGUCCAAUUCUUUACUUUCCAGAGGAUAUCCUAACCGAGUGAUUAAUUUGGUGAAAAAAGAUCCUUAGCUAAGGAUUGCUCAUCACAUUUUUCCCUUACGCCACAAACAUCGUCCAAUACACGGAUCACGGGAUCCUUAGAAUUUACCACGUAUUCAGAUAGGAUCAUUAGGAUCAUAAGAAAACACUGGCAUAUCUUGUGGAAUGUCCAAGGCUGUUCUGAUUUUCUACUUAUUGGCCUUAGAAAAACUCGGUCAAUUAAAGGCAUAUUGGUCCAUUCUGACCUUACAUUGACACGUUCUCCCACUAGUUCCAGCCCGUUGAGUCAUCAUAAAUGGGGUAGAUGUGUAUCUUGUCCUCUUGUUUUACAGACGAAAGAGAUCUAUGAUGAUCACUUUAGCUUUAGAUUUACUACCCGUCAUUUCAGUACGUGUCAGACCAAAGAUGGUAUUAGGGAUACCUAAUAAGAUGCCCUUGCAAUCUGCUUUACAUUGGAUUGACCACACGAGCGGUGAUCCCACAUUAGGAAUCAAGUCAUGGAGGCACCUUUAGUUGAGCACUUUGUAAAACACCAUCAUGCAGAUACAGACCUACUUUACACGGUCCUGUGGGUUAAUCAGAGAAAAUUUGGGAUGAGAGAUCAUGUCAAAUUACUACUAAUUACUACUAACCAACAAGAAACUAAAUUGAUUUACCUAUUUAAAUCCCUGCACCUGGGGGGUUUGAACACUGAAUUAGAUUUUAAUUGUUUUAUUUAAGUUUUUAGACAAGAUGGCUACUGUUUGUGUUCUCUAUCCUAGAUUUUGGAUACUGUAUCUUUAAAUUUCCUGAAAUUGUAUGUGAUUCAGUGCACCUGUGGGUUGCCUUUAUAAUGCUACUAGGAUUCUGCCAACAGUAUCGGCUUACUACACUUUUAAGUGAUAGCUGAUCCAUGGCUAUUUGAUGUACCCGCAGGGACAAUUUAUUUGGUAUGUAUUUAUUAUUGGUUGUUUAUAUGCAGGUCUGUCGUUUCGAUUUCUGUAUUACUUGAAUAUAAUGGAUUUUAUUUCAUAUUAUUGCCAGCUGAUGAAGAAUUAUCAUUGAAACAGUUCAUUAUCCCGGAAGAACUGUUCUGUCUGCUGCUGUGCUCGGAGUACCAUAUUGCUAUGUUUGGAGCACCUAUCACCACACAUUUGCAGGAUGUUGCCUGUGGAAAGGCAUUUUUGCCUCCAUCUUAGUGUUCUUUGAUAGUGACUGAUCACACCUACCAUUUCUGUUUAUUU